UACGUAGGGCGCAAGCGUUGUCCGGAAUCAUUGGGCGUAAAGAGCGUGUAGGCGGCCCGAUAAGUCCGCUGUGAAAGUCCAGGGCUCAACCCUGGAAUGCCGGUGGAUACUGUCGGGCUCGAAUCCGGAAGAGGUGAGUGGAAUUCCUGGUGGUAGCGGUGAAAUGCGCAGAUAUCAGGAGGAACACCAAUGGCGAAGGCAGCUCACUGGGACGGUAUUGACGCUGAGACGCGAAAGCGUGGGGAGCAAACAGG
rnacentral:rRNA from 1 species